rnacentral:rRNA from 1 species
GACGAACGCUGGCGGCGUGCUCAACACAUGCAAGUCGAGCGAUGAAGCUUCUUCGGAAGUGGAUUAGCGGCGGACGGGUGAGUAACACGUGGGCAACCUGCCUUGUAGAGGGGGAUAGCCUUCCGAAAGGAGGAUUAAUACCGCAUAACAUAGCGAACUCGCAGGGGUUUGCUAUCAAAGAUUUAUCGCUACAAGAUGGGCCCGCGUCGCAUUAGCUAGUUGGUGAGGUAACGGCUCACCAAGGCCACGAUGCGUAGCCGACCUGAGAGGGUGAUCCGCCCCAUUUGAAUAUAGACACGGUCCAGAGCCGCAUGCGAGGCAGCAGUGUCGAAUAUUGUACAAUGGGCGAACGCCUGAUGCAGCAACUCAGCGUGAGUAAUGAAGGUCUUCGUAUUGUAAAGCUCUUUGAUUAGGCACCAUAAUGACUGUCCCUAAAGAACAAGCCACGGCUCACUACGUGCCAGCAGCCGCAGUAA